UUUCGUAGGUGAGACUAGUAAACGAAGAGAUCCGGUUUGAACUGGUUCCCGACGUGACAAAGAACGUGACUCAUCUAACCACCCUCAAGUACGAGAACAAGGGGGCGUGGCAUACCGUAGAGCUGAACUACACCAGAGGAGAACUUGGCCUGGCUGUUGAUUUCAAACACAAAGAAGCCGAUCUCUACGGAUUGAAAUUCAAAAUGAGCAAAAAAGUUAUCAUUGGAAGUGGGAUUGGAGCCAAAGCUAGUCUUGGGCUGAUUGGAUGUAUGCGGGAAAUAAUAAUCAAUGGUGUACAGAUGGAACCGCGCUACUUAGUGCGUACUCAUCACACUGUGGGACAGGUAUCUCUGGACAACUGCCAGCUGGUUGACCCGUGCAAGCGGCCGAACGCGUGUGAACACGGCGGCAAGUGUCAGGUGAAGGAUGACCGACUCACCUGCGACUGCAAGGGCACCGGAUACAUCGGCAAGAACUGCCACUUCGCGAAAUUUCGUAAAACUUGCGAAGAACUCGCUCUGCUCGGCUACUCUAAGCCCGACGUCUACCUGAUCGACAUUGACGGAAACGGACGAUUUCCGCCCGCCCAUGUCAAGUGUGAGUUCCAGUCGCUGGAAAACUCAACGAAAACUAUCGUCGAACACAAUCUGCCCAGUCAAGUGGACGUACGCAGCCUGGCGGAAAACGACUUCAGUUUCACGAUCACCUACCGCGAGUUCACCUCAGAGAUGUUGCAAGAGUUGAUCUCUCACUCGCUCUACUGCAGUCAGUACAUAAAGUACGACUGCUACAAGGCUCCCUUGGAGCUGCAUUCGGCCACUUGGUUCAUAUCAGCUGCUCACAAUGGCACUGUUGACUACCUGGGCAACGUGAAGAGAGGGUCUUGUCCCUGUGCUGUGAACCGAACCUGUGUGAACCCAGACCUGUCAUGCAACUGCGACGUGUCGGAAGGCAAGUGGCUGUCAGACGAGGGCUUCUACAUUUCGCCGGACAGUCUGGGCGUGACGCAGAUGGUCUUCUUGCAGCAGAAGGACCUCGACGAGGACGCUCUCGGCAGGAUUACCCUGGGGCCACUCGAGUGUGUCGAAACAAACACACAGAAGUACGUGGUGACGUUCACAACGAGCCAGUCGUACAUAGAGGUGCCAGGCUGGCGGAAGGGGGACAUAGCGUUCAGUUUCCGGACGACCGGAGAGAAGGCCAUACUCCUCUACCAGCCUCCCAUCCGCCCUAAACAUCCUUCGUUCAUGGUUGCUCUUACCAGCGAUUUUGAGUUGACGUUCAACUUCACCCUGAACACGGGUGUGUCACGUGAACUGGAGAUCAAGUCACAGCGUCGCCUGAACAGCGGCGAGUGGCAGAAGAUAUGGAUCGACUACAACAGGCAUCAUGUCCGAUUCAUGAUCAACACUGACUAUCAGAUGGUCGAUCUCAAGCCACACGAGGAGUUUGGGCCCUUUGAGGGCAGUAUGUUCAUUGGCGGUGCUACUGACGACCUGUUGGUAGAGCGUUCCGUGCACCAGGGUCUGAUAGGCUGUUUUCGUGGCUUGGUGGUGAACGGCGAGAUCCUAGACAUCUACUCCUACAUGAGUGUGCACCUCUCGGAAAUCAUCAAGGACUGCAAACCCUCCUGCGACCCAAACCCCUGCAAGAACGGCGCCAAGUGCAAGGAGCUGUGGAGCACCUUCCAGUGUGUCUGCGACAACCCCUGGGCGUACAUCGGCACCUACUGCGAGACUAACGUGAACGAAAUAGGCAUGACGCUGGUGACACGCGACUCAUUCUUCAAGAAGAACUACGUGUCCAGCCUCGCUUCGCCCGCCCAGCUGGACGAGAAACACGCGUUCCGCGGUCUGCUGAACAGCGGGACAGUUCUGAUGAACCUGCGUACUUACACCGAUCACUCGCUGGUGCUACAUGCCAACGACCACCUCAACAAUUUCGUCCAGCUCUACAUUGACGGCAAGUUUGUCGUAUUCCUCUUCAACGCGGCUAAUAUCAUCAAGAAUAUUACUGUCCGCUAUCCAGGUCUGAACACUGGGAAAUCAGUGCAGAUAGCAAUUGUGCGGAAAUCUGAGGAGAUCACACUGCAUGUGAAUGAGAGAAACAGCACCAUUGCCGCCAACGUCACAUUUCUCACCGAAUAUUCCAAUAAACCCUGGCUCAAUCCUGAAAAAGAGGUGCUAGCCCCGCAGCGGCCCCCCGCUCCGCCCACGGACUACUUCCAGGUGAAUUUGGGGGGCUACGACCCCGAAAACCUGCUCAAUAUGAGAGAGGAUGCCCGCGCACUGGAUGGAUACAUCGGUUGCAUCAGGGGACUCAAAAUCGGAGACAAGUUGAUCGAUCUCCCCAACCAUAUCAACAAUUCCAACAAGGAAGAUGUGGAAGGUAUCAGAGCCGGAUGUCAUAUGAAGUGUGAUGAACUGCCCUGUAAAAACCAAGGAAUUUGCAUCGAGGACUUUCAGAAGGAAAUUAGUUCUUGCAAUUGCGAGAAAACGUCUUACUACGGCGAGUUCUGCGCUCAAGAGAAAGGAGCGGAUUUCAGCGGCGAAUCAGUGCUACAAAGGAAGUUCCCUCUAGAAGGUCCAGUGUAUCAAAUCAAAGUUCAGCUGGCGUUUUCAAGCAGUGAUGAUAGACAACGUAACGCUGCUCUACUUCUCAUACAAACCGUGCAUGCGAGAAACUACUAUUUAUUAGUGGCUCUGAGUGGUGAAGGAGAGUUGAUCUUUGAGGAGGACAGAGAUGGUGCUGUGUUUGGAGUGAGAGCGAAAGACAGGUUCUUUCUCAACGGCGCCAGGCAUUCUAUUUACUACAAGAGGACUAAUGAUACUGCUGUUCUAUUGAUCGAUAGAGAACCAGUAUUGCUGCAUCCUUUAUCUAAUAGCAACACAUUCUCUCAUGAUGAGAGCGAGGGCUCGAAUGAGCUGCACAUUGGAGGGCAUAAUACGAGUGACAGCCGCUUUAUCAACUACAAGAACUACAGUGGCUGCUUGUCCAAUGUAUUCCUGGACCUGAACCAGUACACGAUGAGACCUUUGGACGAGUACAUGCUGUUCACUAAGACCACAGAGGAGGUGAACGUCAUGAACUCAGUGGGCAUUCGCAGUGCGCAGUGCUCUUUCUUCGAAGUCACGCACAAGCCACGGCCCGGACCGCAACUCAACAACAGCAUUGGGAAGGACCAGCAGGCAUGGGUGGAAGACCCCCCCGCCAGAAUACCCUACAAGUCACAGUAUUCGGACCCCUCCACUGAGGAAGAGGGUACAGGACGAGUGUUAUUCAUAAUCGCACUGUCGGUGUUCUGCACUGUGAUACUGAGUACACUCUACCACGUCUACUGCAACCAUUUGCAGUACAAGAAGCGAAAAGAGCGCGAAACCGAGGCGGCCAUUUUGUGGCACAACGGUCAACAGGUGCAGUUCCAGGAUCCUGUCCUGGUGGGUCCUUCCCUCAAAGUCGUCCGCUCCAGGAGUGUGUGCUCGGCGACUGUACACUGGACUACAGGUCGGUCGGCCUCCUUCCAAGACCAAGUGCUUGUCGCUGCCAGAAACACCAAUGCAAAUGCCAACUCAUCACCAACUCUCCAGCUACAGCUUACCCGGUCAAAAAGUGACGAUGCCAUGAAGUCAGUGUACACGAACGGCGCUGACCUAAAGCCGCUGACUAAGGGCGAUUACAAAGCUAUGCUCAACUCUCCAGCUGUUGUCAGAUUUAGAACUCACGACCAGGACGCUCCUCCCAAAGCCAAUGGGGUCACUUUUCAAGACUCCAAUGGUUCAGAAAACGGGAGUAGGAGUGGUCUAGCUGGUAGAGAAGAUACUACUCGUCCAUUGUUAGAGAAAGUGGUAGAAGUGCCAGUGAAUGGAACAAUCAAAGAAGAAGACGAAGAAGAACUUCAGAAGGACGAGAGAACGGCGGAAGAGGGGGGGAAGGAUGUGACAAUCCAAGUGAUAGCAGAAGUAGAGGGGGAAGAAACGGAUGCUGCAACCAAAGAUGAAGAAGGAGGAGGGGUGAGAGAGGAAGCAGAGGAGAGGCUGAGCGAUAAUGAUCUCAAUUCAGUCUACAGCAGCGAUAAGCAUCAGAAUACUUUACACUACAGUAUUGAUGAGUUAGGCAGUAUUGAAUUCACCUCCGCGCCAUAUGCAUAAAUCAGUCACUAGACGAGCUUAGAAAUUCUAAAGAUUCCAAAGACAUUUCACCAGAACAAGCCUGGUUUAUGAGAAUGAAAAGCGUAGUGCCUAAAGUGUCAACUCCUUUCGUUUUGCCUGAUGGCUCUAGAACUUUUUCUAAUCCUAUAAGUUACUUAGGCGGACCUAGCCUAGGCUCUAGCAACCAGUCUAGGCUAAGCAAAGAGUCUAUUCUGUCUAUAGAUUAAUAAAUUAUUAGCAUAGUCAAUAAACUAUAUUAUUAAUAAUUAUAACUAGAUGAACACUGUGAUAAUUUUAUUGGAUUAUUUCAAUUUUACUGUACCGUUUUCAAAAGUUGAUAGGAUUCUAAAUGGAAGGUAGAAACUCAAAUAAAUGUGAAUGAAAAAUUGUGAGAGUAUGAUAUAUAUAUAUAUUUUUUAAUGGAAUACAAUGAAGGGUUGAAAAUAUAUUGUCAAUUUUAAAUGCUGACAUAGUUUUUCAAAUUGUGAUAAUGAAUUAUUCAUGAAACUAUUAAUUUAUUAUGGUAUACAAUGAGCUUAUAAAACACUGCAAAUUAUGUGUAUAGGGUAAGGUUGUAGGGCAAGUAAUAGAGUCUUUAUUCAAAUCUUCACAUAAUCUCUUUUGUGUCUUGAGAAUAAAAUACAACCACGGAACAAUCAGUUCAAUUAACUGAACCAACAAUUAGAAGAUUAUAUUAGAAUGUUAAAAUCAAGGAUCAAUCAAUCAUUUUCUGACAAUAGAUUGCUAAUAUUGUUUAGAAUAAUUAAGGGUUUUAAAACUCAUAUAAUAUUGUGUCCUAUAGUAUUAAUAUCAAUAUUCUUGAUACUUUUUAAAAUUUUAAUUUUUAAUUGAAUCAAUUUCAGUUUUAGAGAAAAUUUUCAAUUCAAUUCUCAUUUCAAAUCAUUUACAGGAGUUUCAAUGCUAAAAAUGAUACUAAUCGCAUACAUAAAAUAAAUAAACUAUUAUUAAUAUGAAAAAACUAGUAUUAAAAUGUAAGCUGAAAAUAUUUUGAAGAUUAGGGUAACAGUAGAGUCUAAAACUUUCAUAAAAAUAAAUUUUUGAACAGAAUGUUCAGGCUAUCAUUGAAUAAGCUCACAUUCAUAAAUAACUGUUUAAUAAUUAGCUAUAGAUAAUAAUUAUGACUUUGAUAAAAUAUAAUAAAAAUAUAAAUAUGACUUUGAAUUGAAAAUAUAAUAAUGACUUUGAAAAUUUUUUGAGAACAAAUUUUCGAAUAGAACAGCCUUGUAAAUUUAAAAUAAUCCAAUAGCCUAAUGUAAAAUAAUAUAGAAUAAUAAAUUAUGAACUCUAUAAGAUAAAAUAAAUUAAUCAAAUCAUUUAAUAAAAUUGUAGAAUUCAUAGUCAAAACAAUGGAUUUAAGGUAUGAAAAUGGAUGACAAAAGCAAUGGAUUUAUCAUACAGGAGAAUAUAUUUAAUUAAGCUUGCAAUUGUUGUUAGAAAGGUUAUCUUCAAUUAGUCUCUAAAAAACGAAACAAUGCCACUUUCAUAAGAGCCUACCUUAAUGGUAUAAUGUGAAUAUUUUGUAGCAAUAAAAGAAGCAGUAAUUGAAAAAAGAAUUUAGCUCUAAGUAGCCUACCUACGGUAAAAUAUAGCUGCAGUCUGUACCGUAACUUAUAGUAUUAUGUCAUAUAUUCUCAACUCCAGAAUAAGUUAGGUUCGGAAAGGCAGUAUAAUAUUAAAAACAAAUACCUUGUCUCGCACUAACUUAUCCUAACUGAAACAAUUUGACGCAUGUUUAGAACGUGAGAUCUUUAAAAUUUUCGUAAAUCAAUUUAUUUUUGAUCAAGAGUUUUUGUGAAAAAAUUAUCCUUCCAUAUUAUAGACUUUGGUCAAUCAAUAUAAGAUAAUAAAUCUAGUUUUAUCCUGAUAAAUUAGAUGUAGGUAGCCUAUUAUUUUUUAAUGUUGUUAUAAAUAAAAGUAUUUAUUCUAUUUUUGUAAAUACUCUACUGUGAAAUUGUGAGUUGAAUUAUUGAAACAGAGUUAACUCAUGCUAAGUGUUGCAUCCUAACAUUUGAACGAAAAUUGUCAAGGAAAGAUGAGAAUAGUGUUCAUGAAAUUUUACGAAAAACUAGUACCGUAAAAAUAGUUUUGAGAAUAUUAUUAGGUAUUAUUGUAGUGCUCUAUUAAAUUGAAUCAUCGUAUACUUGUA